ACCUUACCUGGGCUAGAAUGCCUUUGCCAUCCUGGGAAACCGGGAGUUCCUUCGGGACGAAGUGCAAGGUGCUGCAUGGUUGUCGUCAGCUCGUGCCGUGAGGUGUUGGGUUAAGUCCCGCAACGAGCGCAACCCUUAUUCUUAGUUGCCAGCAUGUAAUGGUGGGGACUCUAAGAAGACUGCCUGCGCAAGCAGAGAGGAAGGAGGGGAUGACGUCAAAUCAUCAUGGCCCUUACGCCCAGGGCUACACACGUGCUACAAUGGCGCAUACAGAGGGUUGCUACCUGGUAACAGGAUGCCAAUCUCAAAAAGUGCGUCUCAGUUCGGAUUGAGGUCUGCAACUCGACCUCAUGAAGGUGGAAUCGCUAGUAAUCGCGCAUCAGCAAUGGCGCGGUGAAUACGUUCCCGGACUCUUGUACGACACCGCCCGUCAAGCCAUGAGGAGUUGGGAGGACCUGAAGACAGUAACCGUNCUAGGAGCUGUUUAGGCGUUACAACCAGCGCACUGGGGCUAAGUCGUAACAUAGGUAACCGUA
rnacentral:rRNA from 1 species